rnacentral:rRNA from 1 species
AGCGCAGGCGGUUUUUUAAGUCUGAUGUGAAAGCCUUCGGCUCAACCGAAGAAGUGCAUCGGAAACUGGGAAACUUGAAUGCAGAAGAGGACAGUGGAACUCCAUGUGUAGCGGUGAAAUGCGUAGAUAUAUGGAAGAACACCAGUGGCGAAGGCGGCUGUCUGGUCUGUAACUGACGCUGAGGCUCGAAAGUAUGGUAGCAAACA